CUGAGGGGAAAAUAUAACUUUAUCUUAAUUGUUGUUUUUACAACAGCGGGCGGAUUUCUCCUUUUUGUCUGGAAAAAAACAUCUUACAGACAUUACAAGAAAACCCACAACACUAAAUAUUACCACAGGAUGACCGAGAUUUAAAAGAAAAAUGGAUGCCAACUGUUUGUUUAUACAACCUUACAAAAAUACUGCGUUGGUACCACAGUAAUGAUAUCAGAAGGGGCAUAAAAUAGAAGUUUUCAGGUGGAGAAAGCCAGAGAAAAGGAGAAGGGAUGAGAGGUCACAGUCCUUUUGUCCAGGAGAGGAAAGGAGAUGGAAUGGGUCAUAAACCUACACCCUGCUGUGGAUCUUGGAUGAGAGGAGUAAAGGAGGACACAAAGAAAAGCCUCAUUCACCACUUCACCUCUGCCCCUGCAGAUGAUAACAGAUGUCCAUACGAGCUGGCAGCGUUCGGCCCGCAGCGCGAGUUCACAAACGCCACCAGAGAGUUGGGCGAGGUGCGGAUGACCGUCUGCAGGUCCACACUGGCAUCGGACAGCGGCGAGAUGGACAGCGCACGCUUC